rnacentral:rRNA from 1 species
UACGGAGGGUGCAAGCGUUAUCCGGAUUCACUGGGUUUAAAGGGUGCGUAGGCGGGCAGGUAAGUCAGUGGUGAAAUCUCCAAGCUUAACUUGGAAACUGCCGUUGAUACUAUCUGUCUUGAAUACCGUGGAGGUGAGCGGAAUAUGUCAUGUAGCGGUGAAAUGCUUAGAUAUGACAUAGAACACCAAUUGCGAAGGCAGCUCGCUACACAAUUAUUGACUCUGAGGCACGAAAGCGUGGGGAUCAAACAGG